rnacentral:rRNA from 1 species
UUUUAUGGAGAGUUUGAUCCUGGCUCAGAGUGAACGCUGGCGGCGUGCCUAAUACAUGCAAGUCGAACGAUGAAAUUUCUAGCUUGCUAGAAGUGGAUUAGUGGCGCACGGGUGAGUAACGCAUAGGUUAUGUGCCUCUUAGUUUGGGAUAGCCAUUGGAAACGAUGAUUAAUACCAGAUACUCCCUACGGGGGAAAGAUUUAUCGCUAAGAGAUCAGCCUAUGUCCUAUCAGCUUGUUGGUAAGGUAAUGGCUUACCAAGGCUAUGACGGGUAUCCGGCCUGAGAGGGUGAACGGACACACUGGAACUGAGACACGGUCCAGACUCCUACGGGAGGCAGCAGUAGGGAAUAUUGCUCAAUGGGGGAAACCCUGAAGCAGCAACGCCGCGUGGAGGAUGAAGGUUUUAGGAUUGUAAACUCCUUUUGUUAGAGAAGAUAAUGACGGUAUCUAACGAAUAAGCACCGGCUAACUCCGUGCCAGCAGCCGCGGUAAUACGGAGGGUGCAAGCGUUACUCGGAAUCACUGGGCGUAAAGAGCGCGUAGGCGGGAUAGUCAGUCAGGUGUGAAAUCCUAUGGCUUAACCAUAGAACUGCAUUUGAAACUACUAUUCUAGAGUGUGGGAGAGGUAGGUGGAAUUCUUGGUGUAGGGGUAAAAUCCGUAGAGAUCAAGAGGAAUACUCAUUGCGAAGGCGACCUGCUGGAACAUUACUGACGCUGAUUGCGCGAAAGCGUGGGGAGCAAACAGGAUUAGAUACCCUGGUAGUCCACGCCCUAAACGAUGGAUGCUAGUUGUUGGAGGGCUUAGUCUCUCCAGUAAUGCAGCUAACGCAUUAAGCAUCCCGCCUGGGGAGUACGGUCGCAAGAUUAAAACUCAAAGGAAUAGACGGGGACCCGCACAAGCGGUGGAGCAUGUGGUUUAAUUCGAAGAUACACGAAGAACCUUACCUAGGCUUGACAUUGAGAGAAUCCGCUAGAAAUAGUGGAGUGUCUAGCUUGCUAGACCUUGAAAACAGGUGCUGCACGGCUGUCGUCAGCUCGUGUCGUGAGAUGUUGGGUUAAGUCCCGCAACGAGCGCAACCCCCUUUCUUAGUUGCUAACAGGUCAUGCUGAGAACUCUAAGGAUACUGCCUCCGUAAGGAGGAGGAAGGUGGGGACGACGUCAAGUCAUCAUGGCCCUUACGCCUAGGGCUACACACGUGCUACAAUGGGGUGCACAAAGAGAAGCAAUACUGCGAAGUGGAGCCAAUCUUCAAAACACCUCUCAGUUCGGAUUGUAGGCUGCAACUCGCCUGCAUGAAGCUGGAAUCGCUAGUAAUCGCAAAUCAGCCAUGUUGCGGUGAAUACGUUCCCGGGUCUUGUACUCACCGCCCGUCACACCAUGGGAGUUGUGUUUGCCUUAAGUCAGGAUGCUAAAUUAGCUACUGCCCACGGCACACACAGCGACUGGGGUGAAGUCGUAACAAGGUAACCGUAGGUGAACCUGCGGUUGGAUCACCUCCUUUCUA